rnacentral:lncRNA from 1 species
ACCAAUCGUGGCGCGAGCUCGAAUCACGACGGAGGGACAUCGGUGGUAGGUGCAUUGAACUCAAUCUUGUUCAGUUAUUACUUCAGUCAGAAUCCCCCCUCCCUUUUAUCUUUGGUUGCUCUGAUAGAUAAACUUUGAACCCAUAUUACUCCAUAUUCUGCACGAUACUAUGUACAAUCCUCUAUAAGAGAAUUGUUCCCCAAUAUAAAAGCUUCAUCUUUGUUAUAAUGAUCUAAAUCAUUUACUCAAUGGAGCAAACACAGAAUGGAUCCAAAGUUGGGUGAUCAGCACUGCCAUGUAACAUUAGAGUAAAUCAUAGUCUGACAGGCUAUCUUCGAGCACCUUUUAGUGAAAUUUUUAUGUGGUACCAAGUCCAUUACCCUUAAACAAACUUGUACCCUGAUAGAUAAUCUACCACUUUGGUAUAAUGAUCACUAACCUAAACCCUAUGGAUUUAGCAGAAGAGAACUCUGAAUUUGGACCCAACACACAAAUUCAGAGUCUAAAUUUCUGUUAAGUCCAAAAAUUUAGAUUAGAGUAUAGGAUCUUUAGACCAAUUUUCUACCAGUUCUAUAUAGCUUUAGGGGCAUGUUAUUUAAUCAAAGUUAUACACCAACAUAUGGUAUGACACUUGGCUACAAUACCCAAGUCUAGAACUGCAUGGAUUGGACACUAACAAGCUUCUAAAGUGGCUUCAAACCACAGAAUCUUCAGUUUUAGAAUUUACACUAAGUCUGAAAUUCUAGGGUUUACAUCCCACUUUGGAGCAAGGUUUAUAAGCAGUUCCAUAUGGUUCUAGGUCUAAACAUAGCUAACUAAUAACAUUUUAGAAUCCCCAACCCUAGGUCAAAACUUAGUUUUGAUCUUUUCUCCACUUUUUCCUAUAGAACUUGGAAAUCCCCCACACAAAAAUUAUUUGGUUUGGAAAACUAUGACUUUGGUAUUUUGACUUUUAUCAAAAUAUUUCUUGAUCACAAAUUUCACUUUUGGGGUCAAACCUGAAGUUUUUCAACUGAACUUUCUACUCGCUACCACUCACAUGAUCACAUUUAAAUUUUCUUAAGCCUAGUAAAUCCACUCUAGGUUCAUUACCGUCACAGAGAUGCCAAUGCACAUGAUGCCAUGCCAAGUUUUAGUUCUAGUAAUACCAGGGGUGUUACAAUGAUGAUACCUCAUCCAAGCUCAAUGUCGGCAUUGUCAUCAAGGAGGCGUUGUCACUCUUCUCAUCUCCACAUUUCCUUAUGGCAAAAAGUGACACGAAGGUAAAAGUUAUUCAUGACUUGAAUGAUGUUGAUGAUGAUGGAUAUUCUUAUGAUGAUCUAGUGAAAAUGUUGGGUGAGGUCGACGACUACAUGCACAAAGAGAAAGAAAAGUUUAAGGCCUUGGAUGAUUUGUAUAAAUCUCUUCAAGUGUCUUUUGAGGAGCUAAAUACUUCUCAUAAAAAUCUAAAGAAAAGUUGUGAGAAGCUUGUGGAAGCUUAAAACUCCUAACAUGUGUAAAGUUAAUAAAAAUUAAAAUAGUUUUGAAUGGACAUUAUUAUUGUAGAAUUACUCCAGGAAUCCUAAAGAGAACAUAUGUUUCGUUUAUCAGGGAGCCAAACUGUUAAAGUUUGACCAACUAUAUAAAACACUACUACUUUUAAUAUAUAAUAGAUUAGUUAAGAAUAUAUAUUUUAUAAUAAGAAUAUUUGAAAAUAUAGAUACUCGUGAUAUAUUUUUUGAAAAUAUUUUAAAAUAUAGAUACAGAUGAUAUUACUUUCUAAAUAGUAAUAUGCUUAUUUUUUAGGACGAAGAAAGUAUAUAUUUUAGACCGAGAGAGUAGGGCCAUACUACAAAGCGAAUGGGCUCCUCACCUCCCAACCCCGCCUAGUCGCCUCACCUCCCCGCCCAUCACUCCACCAGCCCUUCGCCGGCUUCCAUCCCAAUUCUGGCGACCACCCCUCCAUCUCCCACACCUACGGCGGCUCGACUCAACCUAUCCCUGCGCUCGGUCUCCGAGGAAGGAUGGUCCAAGGCACAACGAUGGAGUGAGGACUCCUCGGCUAGAGAAUCCUUUCCACCUCCACGUUCCUUUAAAGAGGUUGUCCUCUCCAUUCCAAGAUACACUGCAAGACCCUCUCCUCCAGCAUGUCGUGAUCCUCCUCCCCAUUUCGUGUUUGUGUCUGGUGCCAUCUUUAAGAUACCAUACCGGCUGACUAACGUUGGACGGUCGACAAUAGAUGACGACUGGCAGCUGGUUGUGCGUAGAAAGAGAGCUCGUGGUGUGCAUUUUCCUCAUCAAGGAUCCCAAGUGGAUCUCUGAGGCUGGUGCUACAACUGCCUCUCUGCCUCCCAUUUUGUGGCCUCCUGUCGGCAGCCUACUUGGUGUCAAUGGUGCUUUUGUUUUGGUCAUCUAGCGGCAAAGUGCACCUCCCUCCCGGAGGGUGCAAAGAAGCAGGUGGUGUGGCAACGUUUGAACAACAUCGAGGAGUGCCCCCAGUGAGGCAGAGGGUCUCCGGGAAGUCUUCGGUGUGGCAGAGAAUCUCCGCGCGGCCUCCGGUGUGGCAGAGACUCUCCAACAUGGACAUGGAUUGUUCUCCAGUGGGUAGGUAUCAGGAACCACCCCGCCAUAAGAUAUCAGUAUGGAAGCACCUUGCUGCAUCGCAUGAUCAGGCAACGUUGGAGGCAAACACGGAGGAAGACAAGAAGAUGUGUUCUCGGCCCAUGCAGAAAAAGGUGUUCCAAGCACGGGAAAGGUACAACUGAGCAGGAUUUGGGUUCCAUUCAGGCAAACCCAUCUUCUCUCCCCCAUGUAGAUAGUUUCAGCUCUAAGGUGACUAGACCAUCCUCAUCCUCCUCUUGUGUUCUAGACUUCUCUGAAGCCUUUGCAAGGGAGGAAAUUGCCCUUCGUCGUGCUCUGUUCGUCAAUGUGGUUGGUACACAACCUAGGGUUUCUAGCUCUGAUGUGUUAAAUGAGGUGAGGCAUCAUUUUGGUAUUAAGCUGGAGGACAUGAAGAUUCAUCAGACCAUUCCUAAUGACUUUCUGCUAUUUCUACAGGAUGAAGACACGACAACCAAGGUUAUCAAUGAAGGAAGCCUCUGAGGGGACCCCAUUUAACUUUGAUGCUCAAGAGAUGGUCAGAUUUGCUCAUGCAUCUUCAUCAUCGAUGGCCGAGUUGGUUGAUGUUAAAUUAACAGGCAUCCCUGAACAUGCCUGGUGUCGAUCUACAGCUAAACACUUGCUCAGGGACUCAUGUUGGGUUGAUGAAUUGCAUUUAGAUACUAUGGAAAAAAGGCCUUUUCAUCCUUUGUGGUAAAAGCAUGGUGUUUUAAUCCUAAAAAGCUUGUUAGGAAAAUGGAUUUACACAUCUUGGAGGCUAUGAUUGAUGAUCAUGAAAAGAGAUUUUUAUCCUAUAAGAUCUCCAUUGGUCUCCUUCCACCGAAGACCCUACAUCUGUCAUCGGCUGUCCCACCACCACCUCCUCCUCCAUCGCCGUCGGGCAGGGAACCUGAUGAUGAUGACCCUGAUGAUCAAGACCCCCAGCAACGACGGUGAUACUCUGACGAUCUGCGGCGGCCUAUCCAGCUGCGUUUGGGCCCAAGCCUACCUUUAGGCCAUGCACAUGCAAUGAAUGUGCCUGGGGCACCCCAGUAGUUGAGGAGACAACUGGGGGGCACUAGGUGUAGUUAUUGUUGAGGAUGGGAGCCGAGGAGAACCUUGGGCAGGGAGCAUGGAUUUUUCCUCAGUCACUAUUAUGGGCGGGAGCUGAGGAGAGCCUUGGGGAGGGAGCUUGGUUUUUGCCUCUUCCUGAUGCUGCUGGUGUGAAGGCAUUGGGAGGGAUAACUCAUACUCCUAGUACUCAGUUGGGUGGGCUGCUUGGCUAGGCCAUUUCUUCUCCGCCCUAGGGAAAGGUUUUCUUAGGGACGCUGGAGAGUUUGUGCCAUGGCUCGCCCCACCAGGAUCCUUAUGAUGAAACAUUAACCUUUGAUGGGUCGCUGGGCUCGCUUGGUCCAUCUUCACCCCAUCACAAUUCCUUGGAUGGGCUGCUGGAGAUGGCCAACCUAAACUCACCCCAUCAUCUCUCUCUAAUUUUAAAGGACACUAUGAAAGGGACGCUAGGCCUGAAUAGGCUCUCUUCGCCCCCUCAGGCCCAGCCUAAGGCAACACUGGAGAGGCUUGUUUCUUGGCUCGCCCCAUAGAAUUGCAACUGAAAGUGAAGCCCCAACAAGUGAUACCUAUCCCUCCUUUCCUUUUGGGAGAAAGCAAUUGCCACUCCCUUGAAAGUUUAUACAAGAAAAAUGAUAAGAGACCGGGUGUACCAAUAUCCUGAGGCUGUUCUAGUGAAUGAUGAUGCAAGGGGAUGCUAAUGUCAAGGUGCAGGUUUCGGCUAGAACGACUGGAAUGGAGACUAUUGGCUCGUAUGGGGAGAAUCGGACCAAUUGCUCAAGCUCUAGUGAUUUCCUGAACAGAUUAGGUAUCAGGCUAGCUGCUCUAUUAUCGAAUCCAUGCACCAAAGUAAACAAGAAGACAUCCUCUCCACUCUCAUCUUUGGCUAUUCCCCGAAGAAGUCGUAGAGUGGCUGGUGUUGGAGUUGAAUUUAAUAUGCAGGACCUAGGCAAAAGAGCAACAAAACAGCUAUGGCAACCUUGCACAUUAUUAGAGAAACUGAGGGCAUCAAUCAAGAGGCUAUUGAUGCAUAUGCAAAGCUAUUUUCUUGUCACACCCGGUUUUGGAAGGCAAACCAAAUGCGGACCAUGUACGUGCCAGGAUCAUAAACUUGUAACACCCCUGGUGUUACUGUCACUAAAACUUGAGCAUAACAUCAUGAGCAUUAGCAUAUCAUGUGUUUAUCAUACCUAGAGUGCAUUCACUAGGUAAAAAUUUCAAAUAUGUUGUACUGAUGUGACUUGAUGUGUGGUUAACCCUAGUGUAAUGUACUUAACCCUAAAUUUGGGCUUAUGGAUAUAAGGGAAGCCCAAAUAUGUGAAAAUCUCAAAAGAUAUGAGGAAUGAUCCUAAGAUAUCCUCUUGAAAGGACUUAAGUUGCAUCCAAACCCUCAAGUACUAAAAACCCUGAAAAGACCCCUAGAAAACCCUAAAUUGGAACCCUAGGGGGCUAAGUGUAAAAUUUGUGCACUUUUGGACCCAAGUGUAAAAACCAAAGUAUUAGAGCACCAUAAAUCAUAUGUUUCACACAUUUGAAGAUUUGCAAGUUGAAUAGUGGAGUUUGGACCCAUUUGCAAAAAGCACCCUAUAAACCAUAUGUGACUAAGUCUGAAUUCAGUUUAAAUGGGUCAACUUUGGAGCUUUAUAUCUUCUAAUUUAUAAAGAAUUUGCCCUAGGUCAACACAUCAAGAUUAUAGAGCAAUUAAAGGGGUAUAACUUUGUUUAAGUCAUCAGACACAAGUGUUAUGCAAAAGUUGGAGUUAAAUAGACUUAAAGUUGGGCUGUCAGUCAGUUCAGAAUCUGAAAUCUUACUGACAAUGAGAUUUGCUCAAAUUUGGAUUCAAUUCUAGCUCAAGGGAAUAAGCAAAUGAGCAAGAUCUUUACAACAGAAUUGUAGCUGGUUUAUUGAGCUACAACUUUGUUACAGGUAGAUUAGCAAGUUUUCACACAAAAAUCCGAGAUUAAUUAGGGCGCUGCAAACCAUGCUGUCAGGUGCUCUGAAUGACUCCCUGAUGGUACAGUAACAGAAAUAUCCCUGGGUUCAGUCCCCCUCGCCGCUGAUUAUUCGCGUGCCCGGAUUCGCACCGGUCGCCGUGAUUCGUGUCUGGAAUGCAGUGGAUAUCCAUGGGGAGGUAAAAGAUCUCGCAGGGGAGCAGAUGUGGUCGCGGGGGAGGCUUAUCACCGCGCCUGUAGCCGUUGCGACGUGGCCGCACCGCCGGGUUGCCGUGGAAACUCCGGUGACCUCGGUUGUGCCACGCCGUGGCUUGUUACUGCGUGGUAGUAACCGUGGCACACUUAAGAGUACAACCUUUGAGCCAUUGCGCUGGUGAACGCCACGCCUCCUAUGCGCUAGUGCUCUUCCCCCUCUCCGGCCGCCGCGCGUCUUCUCCAAAUUAGUCGCCACCGCUCACGAAUCCUAUAAAUUGAGCGGGCCAUCAGCUCCGCUAGGUAGUUGUGCAUCCAGUGAACCAGCUCUCACUUCCAAUCAUCCCCUAUAGCUCCCCAAUUUGAGACUUCCCCCAAAUCGGUCCUAAACAUCGUCUUGCGUGAGCUCGCCGUGGCCAGCACGCUAUAGGUCCGUUCAUGCCCUCUGCUCCCUCGUUUCAGUACUCUGGUGUGCUCUUGAUACUCCCUGACCCAUCCAAUUGAGUUAGAACCCGUAGGAUCACCGGGAACAUCUUGGUUUGUCCGUUGCUCGCGCUGUCACCGUGGGAGUGUGAUUAAGAGCUCGAACCUUGCAAUUAAGUGAGGGGAAAUGGUCGGUUAGGGUUGAAUUUGGUGUCAAGUAAAGCGAAGGAUUAGUCGUUGCCUAUUCUGGCCAGUACAAGCUCGCCGAAGCUCGGCCUGUCGCCGUUCACCGUCGGGGAUCGCGGGUUGUAAAGAAUAGAAAGGGGAGGGGUCUAUUCAUAAUUGUCAGUGACACAAGAAACAGUAUUGCGGACUCUUCAAAGGUUUUUCAAAUCACUAGGGUCCUUGGUGAAAAACUGGCAGCGUGGACGCGCGCUCGGGCGCGUUCUGCCUUUAUUGGGCUGGCUCGGGCUGAAUUGAGCCCAGUACUGUUGAUGCUUUCCCUUUUUCUUUUUCUCCUAGACAUUGGAAAUCCAUAGAAAAUUCUAGGAAAAUACUAAAAACAUGAAACCAAUUUUGUUGGACUCCUAAAUUUCUAUAGUAUUUAAUAAAAAUAGUUUAGGAUUUUUAGUCCAAACAAAGAAUUAUGUAGUAUUUAAAAGGGCAUAAACUUAUAUCUCUGGAAUUUUAGAAAUUAUUUAAUAACUCCAAAAAUCACUAAACUUUUUGGAUAAGCCUAUUAUGGUAUUUAGAACCCAUGAGUAAAGUUAGACAUGAUUUGGACAAUGUUUGAUACCUAAACCUAAAACACUAAUCUUCUAAGUAGUGUCUGCCUUAUGAAAUAAAAUACUAACUCCAAAAAUCCUAGUUCUCUGAAGUACCAUGAAGGAAAGUUGUAUUCAAGAUACAACUUGAUAAACCUUUUCUAUUACUGCAUUUCAUAAGCAUUACAUGAGCAUUCAUGGUUAUAUAUGGUUAUAUAUAGAGAACGAGGAAGAAGUAGUGGUUGAAGAAGAAGGAGCUACACCACCACCACCACCUGAAGACCCACCUGUCGGGAACUGCUUUUAUUUUGACAUUUGUGGAGCAGAACCCGACUCUCCUACUACUCAAGGCAAGCCCCGAUGCAUUUGCCACCUCCUUGCUAUUUUAAAAUCUUUCUCACUUGCUUGAUGCAUUAGGUGAUAGGAGUUGUGUGCUAAACAAUUGAUGCAUUUCCUUCCUUGGAAGAUUGAUUACCUUUCCUUGAUCACCGGUUUUAUGAAAAGGUUUUUCUGAUGCUUAGUCUUGCUCUAGAAAAACAAAAUGUUUUGUUUUGACAAAAGAUGAUGCUUCAAGCGGGAUGGGAUGUUUUUAAAAAUAAAACUUGAUGGUGGAUCCAUCAUGGCCAUGAUGGGUUCAACAUUGGAAAAGAUGUACCUCUGCCAGGUACCAAACUUUGGGUUUUUAAAUGAUAAAGCUAAGACCGGGCGGGUGACUUACACGAGAAGAGAGUCUCGUGUAGUGUCUCCGUCUGAGUCGAUUAAGGACCGUCUCGAUGUAGGCUUGAUGAUUGAGGACCUUUUAACUGGUCACAUGCCUCAUCAUGGGUAAGCUUUGCCUCGGGCAGACUAAUACCAGAAUAGGACAACACGCAAUGGGAGUGGAGAGAUGGCGAGAGUAGCGUGUACCCUCCAUGGCAAGAGGCUGGACAGUGGUGUAUUUGUGCUCUCGGUUGGCGUGAACCCGAUCUGGUCUUAAGAACCCCGGUGGCGAGUUGACAUAUGCAAGGGUUAAGUGCUACAUAUGUCGAUUGGAGAUCCCCAGCUGGGUAUUAAUCGAUUCAGAUCACCGUUACUUCUCGGACAUGAAGACUUGGUCACUGUCCUACACGUAGCAUUCCAGUGAACAAGAAGGGUUGAUAAAAGAUGGCUAGUAUAGGCCAAGUGCUUGAACUAGGGUAGAAAGAACUCUAGUGUCAGGUAAUGACUUAACUUGCUAAUAAAACUGGAUUUUUAAGGAUCCACUAUUAGUAAGCAUUUUUGCAAACAGAGUCUUGAUUCUUGAUUAAGCCUCACCUUCACUCCCUCAAAGCCAGCAUAUCCUUGAGAGUCUUUUAUUUUGAUGGGUAAGACUUGCAAAAGUACACUUCGUACUCAAGGUUUUCGAACCCAUGUUGUUGUAGGUGAAGAAGCAGCAAACUUUUGUUGCUUUUGCUCUAAGGUGGUGCCAAAGGAAGAAUCUCAAGAGUGAAGCCUCGGGAGGAUGUUGUCCUCCUUUUAAAAACAUUAUGUUGUUAUAUGGGAGGGGUUUUUGCCUCCCGAGUUUGUAAUAAUAAUAC